AGGGAUGAUCCCGGGAUUCGGGGCUUUGUAGGGUUGGAGCCCCCAGACGAGGUCGGUCCCUGCUUUGCCUGGAAAAGGCUGGCUUGGCUGCUGAACUCUCCCAGUGGAGACAAGUAGGGUCUAAAAUGAAGGAAGAUAUCCUGUGCUCCAUGGAUCCGGCUCACCAAGCUAAGCUGCCUGCUCCCUGCUGGAGCUUCAGAAGGAAAUUUAGAAGGUCGAAAGAAAUCAUAUUGCUGUUUUCAAAGGAAAAGAGAUGCCUGCAAAAGGUAUGAUGGGGUGAUGGCGACGGCCUAGAUUCGAUCAAGAUCAGAGUCCUGGCACUAGCGCUGAUUGUCAGCGUGACCUCGGUUUAAGCAAGAUCAGUGACUUUGCCGUCUCUCUACCCUGCCGGCAGAGUGAGGACAGGAGCGCCUGCCUGAUGGGGUUCCCCUGGCAAAGACUGAAUUAGUGACGCGUGUUAAGUACGUGGUUAAGGCCUCAUGCUCGGUAGCGAACGCUCAACGUAAUUUGCUUCCCAUCAUCCAUAGGAGUAAGGCUCGGAUGAGCAAGAUUCUUUGUAUUUGUAGACGAUUCUUUUCCAAGCCGACCGUCUUCCAGUUUAUAGGGUUUGCACAUCUGAACUGUUUCAUCACGUUUGCAUAAAGGGAGUCAAACCAC